CAUGGGAAGAUGUGCCUACUUCCCCUUUGCCUUCCACCGUGACUGUACAUUUCCUGAGGACUCCCUAGCCAUGCUUUCUGUACAGCCUGCUGAACCAGACACACCUGGGUUCCUGGUGAGCUUCACUGCUUCCUGGUCUCUGAUAUCAGCUCUGCCCAAAUUUCAGCUGUCACAGAAUGAGUGAUCCUCAUAGUAUAAUGGAAAUGCAUCAUCUCAGUUUCCCCAUGGCCUGAAUGUCCAUACAAAAUGAGAGCCAGUAGAGAAAAACAGAGGACGUGAGGAGUUUUUAAAAAUUGAGGAAAAGUGGAAGGAAAAGUAAGGAUGAAGGUGAAGAUGAAGGAAUAUGUCAGAGAUGCUAGCACUGGCAUCCCCCACCACACAGUACCAUGUACUGCUAAAGAACUCUAGAACAUACAGGGUGUAGACGGCAGUCUUCUUGGGGAAAAAGAGGCUUCAGGAUUGCAAGAUUUCAGCUACUGUCUCUCCUCGGAGCAGGAUUCCAUCUUUUCCAUGGCUGGGGCCCUUGACACAUGUCACUGUGCACUGCUCUUCUCGCUGGGAAAAGGAAACUGAGGCCCAGAGAGGGCAAGUGAAUUUCCCAAGAGUGUCCAGAUGAUACGGAGCUGAGCUGGAAAGUGAGCCUGGAUCUCUCUGGUUCUGAAAGCUUUGCUCGAAAGCACAGGAUGACACCUCCAUUCAAUCAAUAAGCACUGAGACCCUUCCAUGGACUCAGCAGGUCCUGCUGUCCCUGAAGGUUGACACUCUCAUUUCAAACCACAGCGAGAACCCCAAAAGGAAACAGUGCAAGGAAAAUAAUGUGAUAUUUGAGAGGCAGCAUGGAUUAUUGGGGACAGGGUUCAUGUCCCUUCUCUCCCACACACGUGGCAUGAUGUUAAGCGGGUCACCUCACCUCUCCAGGGUUGUUUCCUCAACUGAGAAAAUGAGGGGGUUGAGAUGAACGCCAGCCCUGGGGUGCUCAAUGCUGCAGUCUAGGGUGGUGUGGACUGGAAUCAGAAUUCUUUCUCCUCCGCUCUGGGUGCUGACACAUGAUCUCUGGCUCUCACUCCCCACCCCUAAUCUUGCCCAUCUGAGUUUCAGGUUAUUUUUUCCUUCCUCCUGCUCUUCAAUUUCCUUAUUGAGGAAGCUCUUUCCUGCUGCCUCUGUCCCCGCUGGAGCUGUUUGAUCCAGUAGAGCCAGUCGAAGCCAAGGGGACCCUGACUUGAAUCUUGCUUUCUGACAUGCUGGCUGUGGCUUGCUUGGGACCUGAAUAAGAGCUUGCUUACUCCCGGUGUUCACCACAGCGGAACCAUGGGUGCAGAAAUGUAAUUCUCAACCAGCCCAGUUUAAUCAGCGAAAGACAAUAGAGCUUGCAGGCGGUGUCAUGCUGAGUAUCUGAACACACCAUGGCUGCUGUCGCCCUUUUCAUUAAAAUGAUUGAAAAUGUAUUUCUAAGAAACGUGGGGCAUCCACAAAUGAUGGGAGAGUACUAUCACACGGAUUUCCAAAAGACCUUGGCUCAGGUGUCACUUUUGCAGAAAAGCAUUUACUGACUGUUGACUUGGCCAAAUCCCUGUGCUGUGUUUCCUAGUACGGUAAAUCAACUGUAUCCAGUAGUGGGACAGAUGCAGCAUGAAAGAAGAAAGUUACAAUUGCUUUAUCUGAUGCUGUCACUCAUGCCUGGUGUUGAGAGGCGCACAUUUUAAAAAGUCUAAUAGCUCCGACAUAUCUAGGAAACAGAUGGGAAACAAAUGAAGCAUUGAUGGAUUCGCAAAUUCCAGUUCUUUGAUAUUUGUCUGCCCAGGAAUGGGUGGGACAGAGAAAUGUAAGGGAAUAAUGAGGAUACGGGUGGGGAAAGGCUUGCAAUUUUUCCCGUUCUUCUUUGGAUAUGGACUGAAGGAAGGAUGUGGGGAGGAGGUGUUUAUCUUUUGCUUGUACUCUGAACUUUUCCAAAGUUACUGCAUUCCUUGGGAUAUAAAACUGUAAUCAAGAGUCUCUAAUGGAUAACUGCAAUUAUGCAUUGAGUCAUUCAACAAAUACACAUUAAUACUGACUAAAUUAAGCUCGAAUGGAACUUCAGGGCAAAAGAACAGAGAAAAUAAAAUACCACUAGAGA
rnacentral:lncRNA from 1 species